ACGGGGGGAGCAAGCGUUGUUCGGAUUUACUGGGCGUAAAGGGCGCGUAGGCGGCCACCGCAAGUCGACUGUGAAAUCUCCGGGCUUAACCCGGAAAGGUCAGCCGAUACUGCGGGGCUAGAGUGCAGAAGGGGCAACUGGAAUUCUCGGUGUAGCGGUGAAAUGCGUAGAUAUCAGGAGGAACACCGGUGGCGAAGGCGGCUUUCUGGACAGAAACUGACGCUGAUGCGCGAAAGCUAGGGGAGCAAACUGGA
rnacentral:rRNA from 1 species